rnacentral:rRNA from 1 species
CAUUAGAGAUUGGCCUAGCGGCCGUGUCUUCAUCCACACACAUCGUGAAUCGUCUCGGAGCUCUUGGGGCUCUGACAAACACCAAAACAUCUAGCGUAAUGAACGUGAACUAUUGUAACAAAAACAAAACUUUCAACAACGGAUCUCUUGGCUCUCGCAUCGAUGAAGAACGCAGCGAAAUGCGAUAAGUAAUGUGAAUUGCAGAAUUCAGUGAAUCAUCGAAUCUUUGAACGCACCUUGCGCCCCUUGGUAUUCCGAGAGGCAUGCCUGUUUGAGUGUCUUUUAAACUCAAUCACCAUGGGUUUCUUUGACCUAUUGGUUGACUUGGAUCUGGGUGUCUGCCGGUCACAUGGCUCGCCUUAAAGAUGUUAGUGGGACCUGCUGCCUAUGGCCUGACGUGAUAAGUUUCGUCUGACGUGGUGGCUCAUGCCUGCUCACAAUCCGCCCCAGGGCAAUACUACUUUGUGCUAGACCUCAAAUCAGGUAGGACUACCC